CAGCUACAAGGGAAAAUGAAAAAGGGAAAAGGAAGACAAGCAUACAUUCCCUUUGUUCUUAUUUUCAGGAACAGGUGUGCUAAUCUACGAGUGCUGGGUUGCAUGACAUGGAAAGCCAUGACUGGCUCCAAAGGACAGCUUGGCACCUGAGGACUAGCUGGAGAUUUGUGGGGAAUACAGCUGUGAUGUUCUCAGAUUUGAGGGCCAUAAAUACUGGAACUUGUCCAACAACAAAAAUCUCUUCCAGAAGACCACUGAAGAAGUGAUGGAUAAUAUACAA